AUAGAUUUAGCCGACGCGGGUUAAAGUGCAGUAUCUGUUCUUGCCAGUUCAAUAUCUGAUAUGGGUUGUAUUCGGACCUAAGAUAGUAAAGUUACUUUUGCAAGUUGGCGGAAUGCUUAAGGCCUGUUUCCGCUCCGCCGCGAGUCGGGCCUGUAUGGCACUACUUUCGAGAUCGGCCCACGCAUU